AGGGAGAUGGUUGAGUGGUUAAAACAACGGUUUGCUAAACCGUCACAUUAUAACUAAUUAAUGUCAUGGGUUCAAAUCCCAUUCUUCCUG
rnacentral:tRNA from 1 species